rnacentral:rRNA from 1 species
AGCAUAUCAAUAAGCGGAGGAAAAGAAACUAACAAGGAUUCCCCUAGUAGCGGCGAGCGAAGCGGGAAAAGCUCAAAUUUGUAAUCUGGCGUCUACGACGUCCGAGUUGUAAUCUCGAGAAGUGUUUUCCGUGAUAGACCGCAUACAAGUCUCUUGGAACAGAGCGUCAUAGUGGUGAGAACCCAGUACACGAUGCGGAUGCCUAUUACUUUGUGAUACACUUUCGAAGAGUCGAGUUGUUUGGGAAUGCAGCUCAAAUUGGGUGGUAAAUUCCAUCUAAAGCUAAAUAUUGGCGAGAGACCGAUAGCGAACAAGUACCGUGAGGGAAAGAUGAAAAGCACUUUGGAAAGAGAGUUAACAGUACGUGAAAUUGUUGGAAGGGAAACACAUGCAGCCAGACUUGCUAUUCGGGGCAACUCGAUUGGCAGGCCCGCAUCAGUUUUUCGGGGCGGAAAAGCAUAGAGAGAAGGUAGCAAUUUCGGUUGUGUUAUAGCUCUUUAUUGGAUUCGCCCUGGGGGACUGAGGAACGCAGCGUGCUUUUAGCAUAAGCUUCGGCUUAUCCACGCUUAGGAUGCGGGUAUAAUGGCUGUAUAUGACCCGUCUUGAAACACGGACCAAGGAGUCUAACAUGCUUGCGAGUAUUUGGGUGUCAAACCCGGAUGCGCAAUGAAAGUGAAUGGAGGUGGGAAGCGCAAGCUGCACCAUCGACCGAUCUGGAUCUUUUGAGAUGGAUUUGAGUAAGAGCAAGUAUGUUGGGACCCGAAAGAUGGUGAACUAUGCCUGAAUAGGGCGAAGCCAGAGGAAACUCUGGUGGAGGCUCGUAGCGGUUCUGACGUGCAAAUCGAUCGUCAAAUUUGGGUAUAGGGGCGAAAGACUAAUCGAACCAUCUAGUAGCUGGUUCUGCG